rnacentral:rRNA from 1 species
GUGACUGAGCGGCGGACGGGUGAGUAACGCGUGGGUAACCUGCCUCAUACAGGGGGAUAACAGUUGGAAACGGCUGCUAAUACCGCAUAAGCGCACAGUACCGCAUGGUACGGUGUGAAAAACUCCGGUGGUAUGAGAUGGACCCGCGUCUGAUUAGAUAGUUGGUGGGGUAACGGCCCACCAAGCCGACGAUCAGUAGCCGACCUGAGAGGGUGACCGGCCACAUUGGGACUGAGACACGGCCCAAACUCCUACGGGAGGCAGCAGUGGGGAAUAUUGCACAAUGGGCGAAAGCCUGAUGCAGCGACGCCGCGUGAGUGAAGAAGUAUCUCGGUAUGUAAAGCUCUAUCAGCAGGGAAGAAAAUGACGGUACCUGACUAAGAAGCCCCGGCUAACUACGUGCCAGCAGCCGCGGUAAUACGUAGGGGGCAAGCGUUAUCCGGAUUUACUGGGUGUAAAGGGAGCGCAGACGGCGAUGCAAGUCUGGAGUGAAAGCCCGGGGCUCAACCCCGGGACUGCUUUGGAAACUGUAUGGCUAGAGUGCUGGAGAGGCAAGCGGAAUUCCUAGUGUAGCGGUGAAAUGCGUAGAUAUUAGGAGGAACACCAGUGGCGAAGGCGGCUUACUGGAC